AUUGAACGCUGGCGGCAUGCCUUACACAUGCAAGUCGAACGGCAGCACGGGUGCUUGCACCUGGUGGCGAGUGGCGAACGGGUGAGUAAUACAUCGGAACAUGUCCUGUAGUGGGGGAUAGCCCGGCGAAAGCCGGAUUAAUACCGCAUACGAUCUACGGAUGAAAGCGGGGGACCUUCGGGCCUCGCGCUAUAGGGUUGGCCGAUGGCUGAUUAGCUAGUUGGGGGGGUAAAGGCCUACCAAGGCGACGAUCAGUAGCUGGUCUGAGAGGACGACCAGCCACACUGGGACUGAGACACGGCCCAGACUCCUACGGGAGGCAGCAGUGGGGAAUUGUGGACAAUGGGCGAGAGCCUGAUCCAGCAAUGCCGCGUGUGUGAAGAAGGCCUUCGGGUUGUAAAGCACUUUUGUCCGGAAAGAAAUCCUUGGCCCUAAUACGGUCGGGGGAUGACGGUACCGGAAGAAUAAGCACCGGCUAACUACGUG
rnacentral:rRNA from 1 species